GAAGCCUCACUUGUGGGGUGGAUUAGUGGCGAACGGGUGAGUAACACGUGAGCAACCUGCCCUGGACUCUGGGAUAAGCGCUGGAAACGGUGUCUAAUACUGGAUAUGAGCUUCUGCCGCAUGGUGGGGGUUGGAAAGAUUUUUCGGUCUGGGAUGGGCUCGCGGCCUAUCAGCUUGUUGGUGAGGUAAUGGCUCACCAAGGCGUCGACGGGUAGCCGGCCUGAGAGGGUGACCGGCCACACUGGGACUGAGACACGGCCCAGACUCCUACGGGAGGCAGCAGUGGGGAAUAUUGCACAAUGGGCGGAAGCCUGAUGCAGCAACGCCGCGUGAGGGAUGACGGCCUUCGGGUUGUAAACCUCUUUUAGCAGGGAAGAAGCGUGAGUGACGGUACCUGCAGAAAAAGCGCCGGCUAACUACGUGCCAGCAGCCGCGGUAAUACGUAGGGCGCAAGCGUUAUCCGGAAUUAUUGGGCGUAAAGAGCUCGUAGGCGGUUUGUCGCGUCUGCUGUGAAAUCCCGAGGCUCAACCUCGGGCCUGCAGUGGGUACGGGCAGACUAGAGUGCGGUAGGGGAGAUUGGAAUUCCUGGUGUAGCGGUGGAAUGCGCAGAUAUCAGGAGGAACACCGAUGGCGAAGGCAGAUCUCUGGGCCGUAACUGACGCUGAGGAGCGAAAGGGUGGGGAGCAAACAGGCUUAGAUACCCCUGGUAGUCCACCCCGUAAACGUUGGGAA
rnacentral:rRNA from 1 species